UACGUAGGCAGCGAGCGUUGUUCGGAGUUACUGGGCGUAAAGGGUGUGUAGGCGGUUCUCUAAGUUUGGUGUGAAAUCUCCCGGCUCAACCGGGAGGGUGCGCCGAAAACUGGGGGACUCGAGUGCGGGAUGGGAGAUGUAGAAGUUCCUGGUGUAGCGGUGAAAUGCGUAGAUAUCAGGAGGAAUACCGGUGGUGUAGAGGCUCUCUGGACCGCCACUGACGCUGAGACGACGAAAGCGUGGGUAGGCAAACAGG
rnacentral:rRNA from 1 species